GUAAUGUUUCUGACGGGAAGAGUAAAGCGGAGAAUUUGCACAGAGAAGAUACGGUUGGUGAAAGUAUUUGAAAAGAUCUGUUUGAAGACUGUCCCUGAGAACUUCGGUAAUACGAAGCGUAUUUUCCGCGUUAAGGAAAUUGAGGAAUAAUUAAGGUGGAACCACGAUCUGUCGUCCUUUGG
rnacentral:ncRNA from 1 species